rnacentral:rRNA from 1 species
UACACUCCUACGGGAGGCAGCAGUGGGGAAUUUUGGACAAUGGGCGAAAGCCUGAUCCAGCAAUGCCGCGUGAGUGAAGAAGGCCUUCGGGUUGUAAAGCUCUUUUGUCAGGGAAGAAACGGUGAAAGCUAAUAUCUUUUGCUAAUGACGGUACCUGAAGAAUAAGCACCGGCUAACUACGUGCCAGCAGCCGCGGUAAUACGUAGGGUGCAAGCGUUAAUCGGAAUUACUGGGCGUAAAGCGUGCGCAGGCGGUUUUGUAAGUCUGAUGUGAAAUCCCCGGGCUCAACCUGGGAAUUGCAUUGGAGACUGCAAGGCUAGAAUCUGGCAGAGGGGGGUAGAAUUCCACGUGUAGCAGUGAAAUGCGUAGAUAUGUGGAGGAACACCGAUGGCGAAGGCAGCCCCCUGGGUCAAGAUUGACGCUCAUGCACGAAAGCGUGGGGAGCAAACAGGAUUAGAAACCCGAGUAGUCCC